GAGACACCAACGGUGUCGAUCCGCCCCAGCAGCUCGGCAGCCCCGCGGGGUGUCUCCUGGAGGGGAGGUGUCCCAUGGGAUGAUGAGGUGCGGAACGCCUAAGGCUGGAAACAGAGCAGGGAAAAGUGCCCGCUGUGGAGCGGUGCUGGGAUUACGGAACCAUCGGUCUCGCAGGG
rnacentral:SRP_RNA from 1 species